rnacentral:rRNA from 1 species
GUCCUACGGGAGGCAGCAGUGGGGAAUAUUGCACAAUGGGGGGAACCCUGAUGCAGCGACGCCGCGUGAGUGAAGAAGUAUUUCGGUAUGUAAAGCUCUGUCAGCAGGGAAGAAGAAAGACGGUACCUGACCAAGAAGCCCCGGCUAACUACGUGCCAGCAGCCGCGGUAAUACGUAGGGGGCAAGCGUUAUCCGGAUUUACUGGGUGUAAAGGGAGCGUAGACGGCAGGGCAAGUCUGAAGUGAAAGGCAGGGGCUUAACCCCUGAACUGCUUUGGAAACUGCCAUGCUAGAGUGCUGGAGAGG